GCAGUCGUGAGGCAGUUGAGGGUGAUGCCUGUGGAGCUGCGUUUGGUUUCCUGAGUCAAUGACGGCAGAAAGUCUAGCAGUAGUGGCAACUAGGCACACUGAUUGGUCUGUGCUCUGUGGUAGGAGUGGCAAAGUCUUCACCAAACUUCACGCUCUUACGGCUUCUGUGAGUCAGGAAUUCAGAUGAAACAUAAGAAGUAUAAUUUAUCUCUGCCCCAUGAGGUCUGGCUCAGCUGGAGAACUUGAAGACUGCAAAGUUCUGAAGGCUCAUUCACUCACGUCUGGUUGACGCUGGUUAUCAGCUACGGGUCUAGCUCCUAAAGAGGUGUGUCUUAUGUGCCUACAAACCUAUCUGUCCUUUGCGAGACAGAUACCCUGACUUUGUUUCCUCUGCCAAUGGUGGGACUUCUGAGAUCAUCAGUGACAAGGGAGCUGGGUCUUCUCGCUACAGGAGCAGCUGGGGGAGCCAGAGGAGAACUGGUUUUGCACAAAGACUAGCUUCUGCUUUUUCUAGCUGUGUAAUGAAGCAAGGGGGCCAACAGCUUCUGAGUUGGAAUCCUUGAAUCUAAGCAUCCAGAGAAAGACUGUCUUGACCCGACUCACAACACCUGAGAAAGGCUUUUAUUGCCAUGUUAGGCCAAUUGUCCAUCCCUGGAUCAAUAAAAUGUGAUCAUAUUUGGAA